UCAGAAGUUCCUUUGGGCCUUAUCAUAUGCAUCAGGGAUGGGGUUUGUCACUAACAGCUUUACAAAGGUGUUACUUCUCAUCAUCUGCAAUGUGUCCCACUGCUGUCACACAUCUAACCUCUUCCUGUGAUUACAUGGUUCAUGAACACCUCUUCAGAAGGCUGGAUUUCCCAAAUACAUACACACAAAGUGUGGGUGGUGCAGCCAGCUAAGCUGGUGUUUGUGCACAGAUAUUGUGGCUUUGAGAAGAGAAUUUCAGCUUUAUCUCCAUGUUCCCAUAUCCGUUUCAGUGCAGCUGAAGGGCAGACCUUGUCCUUUCCAUGGUGGUAACUUACAGAAAGAAAGGUGAGUCCUCAGGCAAUCAGAUCAAAUAGAGGACGUUGGUUAAAAACCUACUUAUUACUGCUUGGAAAUGUGCUGAAAUUGCAGUAACAUGACCUGUGAUAAAUUUACAAGCAGUUGUGCCAUUGCUUCUCACUGUGUAUCUACACAGACUCUUGAGGUGUGAAAAUAGAUAAAUCCUGGGUAAAGAAAUCAAAGUUUUUGCUGUCUGGUAAUACAUGGCUUAGAAAAAGAAGAGGCAUGCAAUAGUGUCUCUGUGUGUGGGAAAUACUUAUCUGCAGUAUUACUGACACAUAUGGAUUUUUUUAAAAGAGCUUUUUCCUCAGGGCUUGUAUGGAAGGCCCAAUAAUGGAGGUACCUGCAUACUUUCCCAACUGAUCUUGGACUUAGGCAUGCACUCUGGACAUACAUCACAGAAAUGUGAAGGAUUAUAAGGACAAGGGAAAGAUCAGAAUAGGAUAAUACAGCCUAGGAUGUGUUUCAUAAUGCCGUGACACAUUACAAACCCCUACAAGGUACAACCUUACUCACUGUGUAAGACCUGCUUUGAAACAAGGGUCUCAGUUCAGAACUCUGUUGUAUCAUGCCCUUCUUAGUAAUUUUCUGACAUUUGGCUACUGAAAACCAAAUGCAUAUCUUUUUAUGUGUUUGUACGUCCAUAUUCUCUUAACUAAAACAUAUUAACUUGAAAA